AGAUUGGGUGGUUUCAACAGGAACGCAUCCACUGUCUGAGAGUUUAAACUUGAUUUUGUGAGGGGACGAACAGCGUGACAAUUAAAAGAAGAUCUGGGAAUCAAAAGCUUCCUGAGGCCUUCACCAGAAGCAGAUGCUGGUGCCGUGCUUCUACAGCCUGCAGAACUUUAAUAUUUUUGGACAUGAGGUGACUGCAGUUAACUAAAACCAUGGAAAGCAAACCCAUAGAUAAAGGGAUACUAUGCAGAGCAACUGGGAACCUAAUUCUGACCAAAAAGGAGGAAUUGUUUGGCUAAUUGGAAGUGACAGAAACCUUGGGAGAAAGCAACCGCAUACCAAGGAUAAUUAUAAGAAGAAGAGAAGACAUGGAGAAGAGGAGGGAGUAGUUGUGACCGUGGAGGCAGAGAAUGGAGUAAUGUGAUCAUAAAUCAAGGAAUGCUGACAGCCACUAAAGCUGGAGAAGGCCAAGGACAGAUAUUCAAUCCUCCCGUAGAAGUACAGCCCUGCUAAUGCAUUGAUUUUGGACUUCUGGCCUCAGAACUGUAAGAGAAUAAAUUUCUAUUGUUUUAAGCCUUCAGUUUGUGGUAGUUUGUUACAGAAACCCUGUAAAGUUAAUACACAGAGUUCAAAGAGAAUCCGGUAAUAUCUCUAAAAGACUCGUGUAUUAGUCAGGAUUCUCCAGAGAAGCAAAGCCAAUAGAAUGAUACAUGUUGUUAAAGCAAAUUAAAAUGGAGACCAUGCCUGAAGAAUCUCUGUGCAGAGAAACCCAGUUAGGCCUCAUAAGUUAACCUUACUUGAUUUGCAAACAUAAUCUAAAAGUUAACUGGAGCUAUUUCCGGUAAAUGAAUAUAACACAACUUAAGCUCAAUCAGUCAGAAGCAGCUUUAUAAUUAUGUAGCUAGGGACUUUCCAAGAGGAUGACCAAAGAAGGAAAUGAUAUAACUAUAACCAAAUAAAUAUUUUCUUUGCUUUCCUGUUCCUCCUAUAAAAGCCUCCCCACUGCUGAGCUGUGCUCAGCAGAGCUCCGAAACAACUUCUGGUUUAGAGUUGCCCGAUUUGUGAAUCACUGUUUGCUCAAAUAAACUCUUUAAAAUUUUAUUGUAUCUCAGGUUAUCUUUUUUAGAUAGAUAGAUGAUAUAUGAUAGAUAGAUAGAUAGAUAGAUAGAUAGAUAGAUAGAUAGAUAAUAGAUAGAUAGAUAGAUUAUUUAUUAUGGGAAUUGGCUCAAUCACAGAGACCCAAGAUCUGCCGUCUGCAAACUGGAGAACCAGGAAAGCCAGUGGUGUAAUCAAGUUCAAAGGGCUGAGAACCAGGAGAAUCAAUAACUUAAUACCCAAUGUAAUAAGGCCUGAGAAUGUGGGGUAGGGAUGCUAGUAUAAGUCCUAGAGUCUGACUACUGCAGAACCAGGAGUUCUGAUGUCCAAGGGUAGGAGAAGAUGGAGGUCCUAAAUCAAGAAUAAAGCAAAUUCACCUUUUCUUUGCCCUUUUUGUUCUAUUUGGGCAGGCCUCCAGUGAAUUGGAUGAUGCCCACCCACACUGGUAGAGCAGAUCUUUAGUCAGUCUUGAUUCAAAUGCUAAUUUCUUCACAGAGGCACACAGAAAUACUGUUUUAUCAUCUAUCUGGAUAGCCCUUAACACAGCCAAGUUGACACAUAAAAUUAACCAUCACAAUUAGGUUUUCCUGGGUUGGAAGGAAUGGGAGAUAAUGAAACGGGUGCUGGAGGGUAGAGGAGGUCUGAGGGACUUCUUGGCGGGACUAUGUGAACCAGAAUGGAAUGAGCAAAUUACAGACCCCACAGUCUCUGCUCUGACAGAGAUUGCCAGAGUUUGAAAUAGACCUGAUAGGGUUACUACAGGUUACCAGAACCGGGAAGUCAUGUGGCAGCCAAGCUAAUAUCCAAAGAUCACCCAAAGAGUAUUUCAUGUGAUCAGGAAGAGUCUCUGUUUAAUUGACAACUGCUUCCCACUUCCCAUCCCCUUCACGUGUAGCAGGAGUCACAGCUGUCUGUAUGCAGGUACUUUACUCGACCCUAUCCAAACUAUUAAUAGGAAAAAGUACUUUCUCAGUAGUCUAAGUAGUCACAAACCCUAAGAAAUACAGAAAAGAUUAUGGACAUCUACGGGAGUGCCAGUGAUAUAAAAUGAUAAUCCAUAUCACAUGGAAACCCUCCCACAUAAAUAAUCUUUAUUUGACUAGGACUUUAUUCAUUCAACUGAGAUUCUCCAACACCCCUGAUAACCAGCCAGGACCGUGCUGAUCCUAGGCAACAAUCUAAAAGGAAUAAUUAAAGGAUGCUCUGGGAGCAUCUAUAAGAGAAAGCAGUAAUCAAUCGAAUACAGCACGGGUUUAUCUAUAAUAAUUUCAGUCUAAUUUAAUUUUCUUUCUGAUAGUGUUACUAGGCUAGUCAACCAAUAAAAUGCAGUAGGUAAUAUUUUUCUGGGCCCAUGAGGUAUUACUGACUUUUUUUUUUUUAUCAUAUCCUUGUGAGUAAGUUGGAGGGGUUGGGGAGGCUAGAUGGUAGUACUGUCAGGGAAGGACUUAGCAUCCAAAGGGUACUGACUCCUAGAUGGCAGUCAGCCUCUCCAGAGGUUUUUAGUAUAGAAUUACAGUCCUCGGUCUUCUGUGUUUCAUUGACUUAAAAGAAAACAUAGAAUCCAUAUUUAUCAAAUUUUUACCUGAUUCAAAAUCAGGAAGGAUAGUAUUUUUUCCAAACUUUGGAACAGCUUGAUGUUGACUCUGGGCUAAAUUCUGUAUGGGCAUAAUUAGAAUCAAUAAAAUUUUGAGAGUCUAUAACAAUAUAGGCAGAGUCCAACAAACUAGUAGGAUUUUUAAGUUUAUUCACUCAUUUAGAUGUCACAAAUUUCUGGAAUAUCAACUCUGUGUAAAUGUCUAUGUUAGGCUUUAGAAUAUGAAUAAGGUAUGUUAGACUGCAGGAGUUUAAAAUCUGGUGAAUAAAACAAACUUGUAAACACAAAAUACAACAAAUAUUAAUUGUAAGGCAUUAUUUAGCAUUAUAUUUAGUAAAAAAAACUACAGUUAAUUGUAUGAUAUGCACAGGGACUGGCAUGUGUGAAACACCUUUAGACAUUUAAUAAGCUGGAAAAAAUAAUAUUUACCAUAA
rnacentral:lncRNA from 1 species